UAAUUGAUCACGAAGGAAAUUUCAACUGCCGAAAUCGAUUUUUUCUAAUGCGUGCGUAUAUAAUCGGAAAAGAAAAAUAGACAAUCCGUUCUCUGUUUUUGGACAAUACGGAAGACGAAAAUAGUAACAAACUGAUCUGAUUGGUGGAAAAAAAACAAUGGGAUCUAAAAUCAACCAAUCAUCUUAAAGCAGUCGUCAAGUAACGGACACAGAUUGCUUCAAAACAAAACAAACAUGGCGCGGCCGCGCUACAUAAGUAAAGUGGAGUUCGGGUGCA